CUUCACCGACCCCAGCCACAGCGGCGAUGGACGGUCCUGGCCGUAAGCGGCCAGCAGCGCCUGGGCCUC
rnacentral:antisense_RNA from 1 species